GAGAGGAGCUACUCCUAGUACGAGAGGACCGGAGUGGACGUACCUCUGGUGUUCCGGUUGUCACGCCAGUGGCAUUUGCCGGGUAGCUAUGUACGGACAGGAUAACCGCUGAAAGCAUCUAAGCGGGAAGCCUCCCUCAAGAUGAGAUCUCGCACUCGUGCUUGCACGAGUCUAAAGGUUCGUUGGAGACUACAACGUUGAUAGGCAAGGUGUGGAAGCGCAGUAAUGUGUGGAGCUAACUUGUACUAAUUAACCGUGAGACUUUCCAUACAACCUUAAAUGGUUUCA
rnacentral:rRNA from 1 species